rnacentral:rRNA from 1 species
UGGGGAAUAUUGCACAAUGGGCGAAAGCCUGAUGCAGCAACGCCGCGUGAGUGAUGGAGGUCUUCGGAUUGUAAAGCUCUGUCUUUUGGGACGAUAAUGACGGUACCAAAGGAGGAAGCCACGGCUAACUACGUGCCAGCAGCCGCGGUAAUACGUAGGUGGCGAGCGUUGUCCGGAUUUACUGGGCGUAAAGGGUGCGUAGGCGGAUGUUUAAGUGAGAUGUGAAAU